rnacentral:tRNA from 1 species
GGAUGCGUGCCCGAAAUGAUUAAGGACUACUUUGAUAGAGUACACCAAAGGGGCUAAAUUCCCCUCACAUCC